rnacentral:lncRNA from 1 species
UGGAAAAGCCCGCCAUUGCUGCUGCUCGCAGUGGAAGAGAAAUGCGACAAGAAGAUUGCAACUUUUGAACAACUUGGAAAAAGUAUAUUUCGAAGCUAAAGGAUAAUUUGGCUGAAGCUGAACCAACUGACUGAUUUACGGAGUCUUCUAUCUGGAGCUACGAGUGCUGGUACAGUGAGCAUUUGAGGUCAUUUGAGUUGACGUCCUCAGACAACUUCUCUGUGAAUCAGCUGUCACAGCUAAAUGAUACAGUAUGUCUCCCAGCAUACCAUAUUGAUGGGCAUUUGAUAUUGACACAAAA